rnacentral:tRNA from 1 species
UCGGGUGUAGCUCAGCGGUAGAGCAAUCGGCUGUUAACCGAUUGGUCGUAGGUUCGAAUCCUACCACCCGAGCCA